CUUGUGCUAAUACCGAAUAAGCCCUUACGGGGAAAGUUUUAAUGCCGAAAGAUGAGCCCGCACUUGAUUAGCUAGUUGGUAAGGUAAAAGCUUACCAAGGCAACGAUCAAUAGCUGUUCUUAGAGGAAGACCAGCCACAUUGGGACUGAGACACGGCCCAGACUCCUACGGGAGGCAGCAGUGGGGAAUCUUGCACAAUGGGGGAAACCCUGAUGCAGCGAUGCCGCGUGAGUGAAGAAGGCCUUUGGGUUGUAAAACUCUUUCGUCGGGGAAGAAAAUG
rnacentral:rRNA from 1 species